rnacentral:rRNA from 1 species
GUGUCAGCAGCCGCGGUAAUACAUGGGGUGCAAACGUUGCUCGGAAUCAUUGGGCGUAAAGCGCGCGUAGGCGGUUAUCUAAGUCGGAUGUGAAAGCCCUCGGCUUAACUGAGGAAGUGCAUCCGAAACUGAAUAGCUAGAGUACGAAAGAGGGUCGCGGAAUUCCCGGUGUAGAGGUGAAAUUCGUAGAUAUCGGGAGGAACACCGGUGGCGAAGGCGGCGACCUGGGUCGAGACUGACGCUGAGGCGCGAAAGCGUGGGGAGCAAACAGGAUUAGAUACCCUGGUAGUCC